AUUGAACGCUGGCGGCAUGCUUUACACAUGCAAGUCGAACGGUAACAGGUUAAGCUGACGAGUGGCGAACGGGUGAGUAAUGCAUCGGAACGUGCCCGAUCGUGGGGGAUAACGCAGCGAAAGCUGCGCUAAUACCGCAUACGAUCUGAGGAUGAAAGCGGGGGACCGUAAGGCCUCGCGCGAUCGGAGCGGCCGAUGUCAGAUUAGGUAGUUGGUGGGGUAAAGGCUCACCAAGCCAACGAUCUGUAGCUGGUCUGAGAGGACGACCAGCCACCAUGGGACUGAGACACGGCCCAGACUCCUACGGGAGGCAGCAGUGGGGAAUUUUGGACAAUGGGCGAAGGCCUGUUCCAGCAAUGCCGCGUGCAGGAAGAAGGCCUUCGGGUUGUAAACUGCUUUUGCACGGAGCGAAAAGGCCCUCUCUAAUACAGGGGGCUCAUGACGGUACCGUAAGAAUAAGCACCGGCUAAUUACGUGCCAGCCGCCGCCGUAACAC
rnacentral:rRNA from 1 species